UACAGAGGGUGCAAGCGUUGUUCGGAAUUAUUGGGCGUAAAGGGAGUGUAGGCGGCUUGAUAAGUCUUGUGUGAAAUCUCCUGGCUCAACUGGGAGGGUGCGCCGGAAACUGGAGUGCUUGAGCGUGGGAGAGGAAAGCGGAAUUCCUGGUGUAGCGGUGAAAUGCGUAGAUAUCAGGAGGAACACCUGUGGUGUAGACGGCUUUCUGGACCAUAGCUGACGCUGAGACACGAAAGCGUGGGUAGCAAACAGG
rnacentral:rRNA from 1 species